rnacentral:misc_RNA from 1 species
UUCUGAUCAUGGAGGCCCUGGAGUACUUGGCAUGCCCAACUUGCCUUUUGUCUAUGCCAUGGACUUUAUUGAAGUUUUAAAGAAGAAACAUGCUGCUAAAGGAUACAAAGAGAUGGUUAUCUAUGUAGAAGCAUGUGAGAGUGGGAGUAUUUUCGAGGGCAUAAUGCCAAAAGAUCUGAAUAUAUAUGUAACCACAGCCUCAAAUGCUCAAGAGAGUAGCUUCGGAACUUACUGUCCUGGAAUGCAACCGGCACCUCCACCGGAGUACAUGACAUGCUUAGGAGAUUUGUAUAGUGUUGCUUGGAUGGAAGAUAGUGAGACUCACAAUCUGAAGAGAGAAACAAUAGACCAACAAUACCAAACUGUGAAGGAAAGGACAUCAAAUCCCAAUAAUUUGAAUACAGGAUCUCAUGUAAUGGAGUAUGGAAACUCGAGCAUUAAAGCAGAGAGGCUGUACUUGUAUCAAGGAUUCGACCCUGCUUCAGUGAACUUGCCUCCUUACAAUGGCCGGCAUGAAAUGAAGAGCAUGGAUACAAUUAACCAGAGAGAUGCAGACAUCUUCUUCCUGUGGCAAAUGUACAGAAAAUUUGAAGAUGGAACAAACGAGAAAGCCCAAAUCCUCCAGGAAAUUAGAGAGACAGUGGCACACAGAGCUCACUUGGAUGGAAGCAUCAGAGUGAUUGGAUUUCUUCUUUUUGGACCAGAGAAAGGCUCCAAUGUUCUUGAUGAUGUGAGAGCUCCUGGUUUGCCUCUUGUGGACGAUUGGGAAUGUCUCAAAUCAAUGGUGAGAGUGUUGGAGAGUCAUUGUGGUUCACUGACCCAAUACGGUAUGAAACACAUGCGGGCAAUUGCAAACAUAUGCAACAGAGGGGUUUCAGAAGCUUCAAUG